UACGUAGGGUGCGAGCGUUGUCCGGAAUUACUGGGCGUAAAGAGCUCGUAGGUGGUUUGUCGCGUUGUUCGUGAAAUCCCACGGCUUAACUGUGGGCGUGCGGGCGAUACGGGCAGACUGGAGUACUGCAGGGGAGACUGGAAUCCCUGGUGUAGCGGUGGAAUGCGCAGAUAUCAGGAGGAACACCGGUGGCGAAGGCGGGUCUCUGGGCCGAAACUGACGCUGGAGGAGCGGAAAGCGUUGGGAGCAAACAGG
rnacentral:rRNA from 1 species